UACGUAGGGUGCGAGCGUUGUCCGGAAUUAUUGGGCGUAAAGCGCUCGUAGGCGGUCUGUCGCGUCGGUCGUGAAAACUUGGGGCUUAACCCUGAGCUUGCGGUCGAUACGGGCAUGACUGGAGUUCGGCAGGGGAGACUGGAAUUCCUGGUGUAGCGGUGAAAUGCGCAGAUAUCAGGAGGAACACCGGUGGCGAAGGCGGGUCUCUGGGCCGAAAUUGACGCUGAGGAGCGAAAGCGUGGGGAGCAAACAGG
rnacentral:rRNA from 1 species